rnacentral:rRNA from 2 species
GACGAAGGAUUCAAGCGUUGUCCGGAUUUACUGGGUUUAAAGGGUGCGUAGGCGGAAGUCUAAGUCAGUGGUGAAAUCCCGCAGCUCAACUGCGGAACUGCCAUUGAAACUGGUCUUCUUGAAUACAGUUGAGGUAGAUGGAAUAUAACAUGUAGCGGUGAAAUGCUUAGAUAUGUUAUAGAACACCGAUUGCGAAGGCAGUCUGCUAAGCUGUUAUUGACGCUGAGGCACGAAAGCGUGGGGAGCAAACAGG